rnacentral:rRNA from 1 species
GACGAACGCUGGCGGCGUGCUUAACACAUGCAAGUCGAACGGAAAGGCCCUGCUUUUGUGGGGUGCUCGAGUGGCGAACGGGUGAGUAACACGUGAGUAACCUGCCCUUGUCUUUGGGAUAACUUCAGGAAACUGGGGCUAAUACAGGAUAUGAGCUCCUUAUGCAUGGUGGGGGUUGGAAAGUUUCGGCGGUUCGGGAUGCACUCGCGGCUUAUCGUCUUGUUGGUGGGGUAGUGGCUUACCAAGGCUUUGAGGGGUAGCCGGCCUGCGAGGGUGACCGGCCACAUUGGGACUGGGAAGCGGCCCAGACUCCUACGGGAGGCAGCAGUGGGGAAUAUUGCACGAUGGGCGGAGGCCGGAUGCAGCAACGCCGCGUGCUGGAUGACGGCCGUCGGGUUGGAAACCGCUUGCGCCUGUGACGAAGCGUGAGUGACGGUAAUGGGUAAAGAAGCACCGGCUAACUACGUG